rnacentral:rRNA from 1 species
GACGGGGGCCCGCACAAGCGGAGGAACAUGUGGUUUAAUUCGAUGAUACGCGAGGAACCUUACCCGGGCUCGAACGGCAAGUGAAGAGAGCCAGAGAUGGUGACGCCCUUCGGGGCACUUGUCGAGGUGCUGCAUGGUUGUCGUCAGCUCGUGCCGUGAGGUGUCGGCUCAAGUGCCAUAACGAGCGCAACCCUUGCCGUCAGUUACCAUCACGUAGAGGUGGGGACUCUGGCGGGACUGCCACCGCAAGGUGAGAGGAAGGGGGGGAUGACGUCAAAUCAGCACGGCCCUUACGUCCGGGGCGACACACGUGUUACAAUGGUGGGUACAGAGGGAAGCCAUGUGGCGACACAGAGCGGAACCCAAAAACCCAUCUCAGUUCGGAUCGGAGUCUGCAACCCGACUCCGUGAAGCUGGAUUCGCUAGUAAUCGCGCAUCAGCCAUGGCGCGGUGAAUACGUUCCCGGGCCUUGUACACACCGCCCGUCAAGCCAUGAAAGCCGGGGGCGCCUGAAGUUCGUGACCGCGAGGAGCGACCUAGGGCGAAACUGGUAAUUGGGGCUAAGUCGUAACAAGGUAGCCGUACCGAAA